GACGGAGGGUGCUAGCGUUGUUCGGAAUCACUGGGCGUAAAGGGCGCGUAGGCGGCUGUGGCAGUCGGGUGUGAAAGCCCGGAGCUCAACUCCGGAACGGCACUCGAGACGCCACGGCUGGAGGCCGGAAGAGGAGGGUGGAAUACCCAGUGUAGAGGUGAAAUUCGUAGAUAUUGGGUGGAACACCGGUGGCGAAAGCGGCUCUCUGGUCCGGACCUGACGCUGAGGCGCGAAAGCGUGGGGAGCAAACAGGAUUAGAAACCCCCGUAGUCC
rnacentral:rRNA from 1 species